GAUGAACGCUGGCGGUAUGCCUAACACAUGCAAGUCGUACGAGAGUUUUUAACUCAAGUGGCGGACGGGUGAGUAACACGUGAGAAUUUGCCUUUAGGAGGGGGAUAACAGCGCGAAAGUGCUGCUAAUACCCCAUAUGCUUUCGAGUGAAAUGAAUUUAUUCGCCUAAAGAGAAGCUCGCGGCUGAUUAGCUUGUNGGUAAGGUAAUGGCUUACCAANGCGACGAUCAGUACCUGGUUUGAGAGGACGAUCAGACACACUGGAACUGAGACACGGUCCAGACUCCUACGGGAGGCAGCAGUGGGGAAUUNUCCGCAAUGGGCGAAAGCCUGACGGAGCAAUACCGCGUGAGGGAAGACGGCCUAUGGGUUGUAAACCUCUUUUCUCAGGNAGGAACUCAAUGACGUGUANCU
rnacentral:rRNA from 1 species